CAAAGCUCAGGCCGUCAGAACCAGUCCCCGUCCGUCCAGGCCAACGCCGCCACUUGCCCCUUGCGGCGUGCGCGCGAGAGAGAGGAAGGGGAGAAGACUGGGGAGACGGAGGUCGGAGGCCGCCUGCCCACCUUCUAUCAAUAUACACACGGCCCGGCCGCCCCGCGCCGCAUCGCCUUUUUCCCCCACUCGCUCCUCCCUCCCUCCCUCCCCUCAACCACUCGGGAGGCCUCUGGACCCUGGAGGAAGAAGCUCAAGAGCUUUCACAUCUCCUCCAGACCUCCCCGUCGCCUACCCCAGCAGCCAUGGCCGCGAAGGCCCACAAAAUCGGCUCCAUCUGUGAGGUCCGCCGCAUCAUCAAGGAUGCCGAGACCUACGAGGAGACCGCCCGCAACGACGCGCGCCAGCUAUGGCGGAUCGUAAGCAACACCGGAGGCCAUGGUGUCUUCCUCGACGUCGACUUGCUCGCCGGUAAGGACGAGUCUUUCCACUUCGUGCAGCAGAAGCUCGAGGAGCUUCGUCGCCUGGUGGUGGGUUCAGACAAGAGGAUUGGCGAGCUCGUGGCCGUGGUGGACCGCUUGGAGGCCGUGUUGGGAGCCGGCGGCCCUGGACUCCCCUCCUCGUACGACCCCAAGGCCUAUUGCGGGGCUAACCCCUACAUGGACGUGGACCAGGAGAUUGAAGAUGUGGGUCUUGAGGUGCACAUCGACGUACUCCGAGCUCUCAUGCGCGAAACAUCCCCUGGCAACCCCCCCACCAGGGGACGCCGCUCAGCAGGUAAUCUGAAGCGCCGUGAGCGGCUCGAGCAGAGGGCUACUACUGAGUUCAACUUGGCUGUUCUGAGGAUGAAGCGUGAUAUCCUCAUUGAGAUGCGCAACAACCUUCAUCAUUGAGUUGCGCACAACAACCUUGUGGAGGGGAUCGCAGAGCUGGAGAUGAACUUCCUCUCACAGCCCACCUAUCUUGGAUGCGGCGCCGCAGAGUACGUCAAGUUCGAGGACAUGCCCAUGCUGCCAGAAACCACAGAGGACCCGGAAAGAGGAGUUUUGACAAUUACACCAUGUUUGAAUGCUGUCGGUACAUACGGACAGGAGUACCUCCUGCUAGGGUGUCCAGACCCUUAGCGUCUCGCUGUUGCCUCACAGGAGGGCGCGAUGGUGUCAGGCUCCGGCGUGUGCGCCAAGCGUAUCGUGGUGAACGCACGCUACCACUUGCUCGACCGUCUAUCCUCCAUCGUCUCCAAGGAACUGCUCAACGACCAGAAGGUCGUAAUAGUCCACUAUAAGGAGAUCUGCCUCUCCGCGGGCCUAGCCCGCCAUGUAGUUAUCUGACAGACUGUCCACCCUGGUGGGCACAGGGUUUUCCAAGGCCUCACCCUUAUUCUCUGUGAGACGGGGUGUACGGUCCGGACCACAGCUGGGAUCGUGGUCUUCGGACCUCUCCCCUGAGCUCAUAUAGGUCUGGCGCCCCCACGUGCCCAGGAGGGCAAGGUACUUGGGGAUUGCCUCCACAGGC